rnacentral:other from 1 species
UGUGCUAUACUGACUAUAGUGUUUUUGUUAGGGAUAUAAAUGGGUUUUAAGAGCUCCUUUUUGAACCACAGGCAGAAAUAUGAAUAACCGUGCUUCUGGCACAAGGAGGAAAAUGUUCAUGGAACAAGGUAAAGUAAAAUGGUUUAACGCGGAAAAAGGUUUUGGAUUUAUUGAACGCGAAGACGGAAGUGACGUAUUCGUACACUUCUCAGCUAUCCAAUCAGAAGGAUACAAAUCAUUAGACGAAGGCCAAGCUGUUGAAUUCGAAGUUGAAGAAGGCGCACGUGGUCCUCAAGCUGCUAACGUAGUAAAACUAUAAUUUUAUCAAAUAAGAAAGAGGUUAGGAAUUUCCUAGCCUCUAUU